UACGGGGGGAGCAAGCGUUGUUCGGAUUUACUGGGCGUAAAGGCGCGUAGGCGGCCAGCACAAGUCAGUUGGUGAAAUCUCCGAGCUUAACUCGGAACGGUCAACUGAUACUGUGCGGCUAGAGUGCGGAAGGGGCAACUGGAAUUCUUGGUGUAGCGGUGAAAUGCGUAGAUAUCAAGAGGAACACCUGCGGCGAAGGCGG
rnacentral:rRNA from 1 species